UCCGGGGCCCCUGCUCCCAGCUACCUCUGGAUCAGAUCAAGGAAGUUUUGUGGUGACGGGGCUGAGCCUCUCCUUGCGUUGGAGCAGCCUGAUUAAGUUUCUGGAAACCGGCAAGAAGCGCAAGGGAGUUUCUGGGAGAUGUUAUUAGAGUGAAUGGACUGUUUUCCUUAGCAACCCCAGGGAGCCGGGUCACAUGCUUGUUACUGGCAUUAAGGACAGGGAGCAAGCUUGCAGAUUCCUCUGUUACUGGACAAUGAUCUAUCAAAGACAGAAUGUGUGCCAACUGGUGUCCUGGGCUCCUGGAGCCUGGUGAGGAAGAAGGCACCCAUCUUCUUGUUCUUGAACCUCUUACAUUUCAAGGGGGAGAUGGAUGAGAGGGGCAGAAAUUAAAAGCAGCGAGAGAAAAGUAACCAAGACACCAUGUCAUUACCUGAUGGUGGUAGCGUGCAUGGCCCUCAGGACUGCAGAGAUCUGGCGAGACCUCGCCGGUGGAGGAGCAGGAACACAUCUUGUCCCCAAGGUGAGGGGCAGGUGCAUCUCAGAAGAAAUGCAGAGUCUUCUCAUCGCUUUUCUGUUCAUUCCGUCCUCCACAAUUGGGCAACUGGUAUCUUUUGGAAAAUAACUGCCUGUCCACAGCGCUGCUUUCAUCGAAGCCACUUCACCAUUGCUCUAAGAUAAAAUUUGCUGUUUGCUGUCAUUGCUGCUGCAGCCACAAGAGAUGGAAGACCAGGCUCCAAUUUCCAGUGGGGUUCUGUAAAACCAGGGCUCAGCGCCUGCACCUGGGAGCUGCAGAAACCGCCAGCUUCUCACCGUCUCUGUCUCUCAUCACUUUGUCCACAGGCUUCAUACAGGGUCAGGGUCCUGUGUGCACACAGGUGGUGCUUAAUAAAUGCUUCUGUGAUCACAGAUGGUCCGGGCAGCUGCAAGCACCUCAUCUUCACACCAUGGCGUCUCCAUGGAGGAAAGUGUGUGUCUCAUUCCCAGAGCCUCAGGAAACAGCCGUGGGCAUCUUCCCAGGGUCCACUGUGUCCACAUUCUGGCCUGAUCCAGUCACCUGGGGAUGCGGCGGGUCUGCAAAGAGCAAAGCUACUUACAAGACACUUAGCGAAGGGUACAGUGGACUGUUCAGGCCGACAGUGCUAGGCUGAGGACCGCUGUGCUGGCAGUCUGUAGCGGGGGGAGAGAUUGGCUUACUUCCUGGGUGACAAGGAAAAGCGGGGUUUUACAGAGGAACAGCAGGGCAGGGUGGGAGUGGAUGCAAAAGCACCAAGAGGAAGGAAGUAUCACAGUGAGGGGGCUGCGGGCUGAGCAGACCCAGCAGGAUUCUUGCUGAAGACAAACGGGAGAUGAGAUGUCCAACCUGGGCAACCGUGGGAGCUGAGGAAUCUGCCCAGAUGUGAGGGUGGGGGAUCCUGCUAGACCAGCUGAGUAGGGUUCUUGCCAAAAUUGGGCUGUUCGGUAGCACACUCCUAUAAUCCCAGCACUCGGGAGGCUGAGGC